AGAACAUGGGACUAAGCUUGUAGAAGUCGGGCGGAAGCAUUUUCGGACCGGGGUUCGAUUCCCCGCACCUCCACCA
rnacentral:tmRNA from 1 species